rnacentral:tRNA from 1 species
GAGAGUAUAGCUCAGUGAUAAAGCACAUGCUUAGUGUGCACAACGUCCUUGGUUUAAUCCCCAGUACUUUCA